rnacentral:rRNA from 1 species
AUACAGAGGGUGCGAGCGUUAAUCGGAAUUACUGGGCGUAAAGCGUACGUAGGCGGUUCGUUAAGUUAGAUGUGAAAGCCCCGGGCUUAACCUGGGAACUGCAUUUAAAACUGGCGGACUAGAGUUGAGUAGAGGGGAGUGGAAUUUCAGGUGUAGCGGUGAAAUGCGUAGAGAUCUGAAGGAACACCAGUGGCGAAGGCGACUCCCUGGACUCAAACUGACGCUGAGGUACGAAAGCGUGGGUAGCAAACGGGAUUAGAUACCCUAGUAGUCC